rnacentral:rRNA from 1 species
AUUGAACGCUGGCGGCAUGCCUUACACAUGCAAGUCGAACGGUAACAGGUCUUCGGAUGCUGACGAGUGGCGAACGGGUGAGUAAUACAUCGGAACGUGCCCGAUCGUGGGGGAUAACGCAGCGAAAGCUGUGCUAAUACCGCAUACGAUCUACGGAUGAAAGCGGGGGAUCGCAAGACCUCGCGCGGACGGAGCGGCCGAUGGCAGAUUAGGUAGUUGGUGGGAUAAAAGCUUACCAAGCCGACGAUCUGUAGCUGGUCUGAGAGGACGACCAGCCACACUGGGACUGAGGCACGGCCCAGACUCCUACGGGAGGCAGCAGUGGGGAAUUUUGGACAAUGGGCGCAAGCCUGAUCCAGCCAUGCCGCGUGCAGGAUGAAGGCCUUCGGGUUGUAAACUGCUUUUGUACGGAACGAAAAAGCUCUCUCUAAUACAGGGGGUGAAUGACGGUACCGUAAGAAUAAGCACCGGCUAACUACGUG